GCAAAGAGCAUUGAGUGAGCAACAUCCGUUAAAAAACGUGGGGGAGACUCACCUUAACCAUAACAUUCGCACUGAAUAUGUACGAGGAGAAAAACACCCAAAACACGUCGUAAAUUAACAGGCCAGUCAGCAGGAGGGUGGAAACUUUCAAACUGGGCAAUCGGACAAACGCUAUGAACGCAACGCAUAGACCCAUGCCCAUUGCGUCCAUCAAUAGCCAAUGACCUGCAAACAAGAAGUUGGUUAAAAUUUAAUUGAAAUGGUAACAUUGCACAUGUAUAAACAGAGCCAUAAUCCCACUUUUGCAUGCUUGAAUGUCUAGAGUCUGGAACAUUUCUUUCAAAGCUUUUCAACGAAAAAACCAAAUCGGCAGGAUAUUGUGACUUUCCCUUCGCCCAACUAUUUACAUAAGAUAAGGCUCCAAACAAACAUGGUUUGGCAUUGUGCUGAUAAGCUCACCUGUUAAUACCCAAAUGCAAACGAUGAAGACGGAUAGGGAAAACGAGAGUAAUUCGGCUGAAGUGAAUCGGCCACAUAUCCCGAAAGAUAUCUUCGUUCCAUCCGAACAUGGUCUGAUUAUGUACUGGCACAUUGGAAGAAGCAGGAAGGCCAAAGCAACCGUAGCAAUUACUAAAAAAAAAAACGUUAAGUAUGUACAUAGUUUAUAGGCUACAUGCAAAAAUAGCCUACAUUCAGACUGAGAUUUUACGUGUUAACUUUCAUCGGAAAACCCAUAAAUUUUGAACAAUUAAACCCGCAAACAUCAGUGUUUCUUAUGUUGGAAACUGGACGUUUACUUUCGAUUAAUUUCCAAUAAAACCCAUUCAUACAGUGCAAUCGGUGGCAAAAUUUCCACGCCUUUUGCGUCUAAGUAUGCUAAUGGAAACGAGCAACGUGAGUAAAUUCUCCAUCUAAUUAAUUGUUUGCCUAAAAAUCGACAGGCACGUAGUUCAAUUCGAAAUAAGCGACAAGAAGUGACUUUCACGGAAUUAUUUCGCCAAAGCGGUGAAGUGAAGAAUCGUUUUUAUUGUAGUCAGUUUUUCAGAUCACAGUUGAACUUUCAUUGUCAUAGUUGCUUGUUCUGGUGGCCUCAUUUUGCCUUCAGUAACCGAUACGUGGAAACCCUUGCAUGUAUCUAUGAUGAGAAGACUUAUAAAUCAAGCAGCAUUAACAUUUUCAAUACGAUUCCAAGAGGCGAAAUAUCGAUUAAGAUAUCGUCCUUGUUUUGGCAUGUAGGUAGCCGCUAUUAAACUGAUAAAAAAGUAA